CUUUUCAAAGUAACCUCUUUCUCAUAAGCUUAUUCUUCAUCACUUUUUGCUCGUAACAUAUGCGACUUCAACGAUAGGUUUGGAUAAAAUGUGAACUGCAAGUUAAAUAGGGAAAUAUUAUUUCCACUAUAUUCCUAUUGUAUUGAUAUAAGAUUGUAGGUUAUAACAUUCUCACACAUAACCUAUCAAUCGAGUUAGUUAACAAAAUCAAAUUACCAAAAUCGAGCUCGAUUUUUUUCUUACUGAAGGAAAGUAUAAUAGGCGAAUAUCCAAAUUCUCUUAAUAAGAAUAAAUAAGAAUUAAUAAUAAUUAAUAAAAUAAAUCAGAAUAAAUAAGAAAUACAUGGAUAUGAUGGCGAGCACGUUUGAAAGGAGAGAGAACUCCGAUGUUUCCUUAUCGGAAUACGAAAAAAGACUGGAUCGAUAAAUGUCAAAGUAGGGUCGUUUGUAUUUGUUGAUAUUAAAUGUAGUCUGCGAUCUUAUGCGAGGGUGAAAAAUAUUAAAAAUCAUAAAAAACUUACGCCGUCAUCCUUUCCUCGUGAGAAUAGAUCGUUAUCGUUUGUAUGCCACGUAUAACUCGUCUAUUAUUGUUGCACUUCUAUUAUGUGUAUAUUCAUACACAUAUAUAUAUAUAUAUAUAUAUAUA